rnacentral:misc_RNA from 1 species
GAUGAAGAACGUAGUGAAAUGCGAUACGUAAUGUGAAUUGCAGAAUUCAGUGAAUCAUCGAAUCUUUGAACGCACAUUGCGCCCGCCAGCACUCUGGCGGGCAUGCCUGUUCGAGCGUCAUUUCAACCAUCAAGCCCCAGGCUUGCGUUGGAGCCCUGCGGCUGCCGCAGCCUCCUAAAAGCAGUGGCGGGCUCGCUAUCACACAGAGUGCAGUAGAUUACUCUUCGCUCAGGGCGUGCAGCGGGUUCCGGCCGUGAAACCCCCUACUUUUAAAGGUUGACCUCGGAUCAGGUAGGAAUACCCGCUGAACUUAAGCAUAUCAAUAAGCGGAGGA